GACGAACGCUGGAGGCGUGCCUAAUACAUGCAAGUAGAACGCAGUUUCGAACGGGUGAGUAACGCGUAGGUAACUGCCUCAUAGCGGGGGAUAACUAUUGGAAACGAUAGCUAAUACCGCAUACUUUGAGAUGGACCUGCGUUGUAUUAGCUAGUUGGUGAGGUAAAGGGUCACAAAGGCGACGAUACAUAGCCGACCUGCGAGGGUGAUCGGCCAAACGGGGACGGAGACACGGCCCAGACGCCUACGGGAGGCAGCAGGAGGGAAUCUUCGGCAAUGGACGGAAGUCUGACCGAGCAACGCCGCGGGAGUGAGGAAGGUUUUCGGAUCGUAAAGCUCUGUUGUUAGAGAAGCGUUAACUAACCAGUAAGGGACGGCUAACGACGUGACAGCAGCCGCGGUAAUAC
rnacentral:rRNA from 1 species